rnacentral:tRNA from 1 species
GCCUGGCUGGCUCAGUUGGUAGAGCCUGCGACUCUUGAUCUUGAAGUCGUGAGUUCAAGCCCCAUGCUGGGUU